rnacentral:rRNA from 1 species
GACGAACGCUGGCGGCGUGCCUAACACAUGCAAGUCAACUUGACUGAAGGAGCAAUCUGACAGUAGAGUGGCGCAAGGGUGCGUAACGCGUAAGUAACUUGCCCCAAGGUAAGGAAUAACGUCGAGAAAUCGGCGCUAAUACCUCAUAAUGCAGCGGAUCCGCAUGGAUAUGUUGUUAAAGGUUUACCGCCUUGGGAUAGGCUUGCGUCUGAUUAGCUAGUUGGUGUGGUAACGGCACACCAAGGCUACGAUCAGUAACUGGUCUGAGAGGAUGAUCAGUCACACUGGAACUGAGACACGGUCCAGACUCCUACGGGAGGCAGCAGUGAGGAAUAUUGGGCAAUGCUCGAAAGAGUGACCCAGCAACGCCGCGUGGAGGAUGAAGGUAUUCUAUAUCGUAAACUCCUGUGAGAGCAGACGAAGACAGAUUAUUAAUCUGGAUGACUGUAUGCUCAGAGGAAGCCCCGGCUAACUACGU